rnacentral:lncRNA from 1 species
CUAGCAGAUACCAGGCUGGGAGUGAGCCCUCCGUUUGCCGGUCAACUGUUGAUCCUCUGUGGCUCAAACGAGUUUCCUGUGGUGUUCCCACAUCCCACAUCCUGAAACUCUCCAUGGCCUUGUAACUAUGGCAGGACCAGCCUUCAAGUCCCCUGAGAACGCGGCUGGUGGCACCGUUGAUCCGGCACUGGAAGAUUAGCCCUGAGCUGACAGCUGCCAAUCCUCCUCUUUUUGCUGAGGAAGACUGGCCCUGAGCUAACAUCGUGCCCAUCUUCCUCUACUUUAUAUGUGGGACGCUUGCCACAGCGUGGCAUGCCAAGCCACGCCAUGUCCACACCCAGGAUCCGAACCGGCGAACCCCGGGCCGCCGAAGCGGAACAUGCACGCUUAACCCCUGCACCACUGGG